GGCUGGUCCAAGUGCAGUGGUGUUUACAACUCUUCGAUCAUAAUCAGCUACAGAUCUCUCUGUUCUUUCUCUAUUACCACUGCUUCGCUGACCAGCCUUUA
ensembl:Y_RNA Y_RNA Y RNA